rnacentral:rRNA from 1 species
CCUACGGGAGGCAGCAGUGAGGAAUAUUGGUCAAUGGGCGUAAGCCUGAACCAGCCAAGCCGCGUGAGGGAUGAAGGUUCUAUGGAUUGUAAACCUCUUUUAUAAGGGAAUAAAGUGCGGGACGUGUCCCGUUUUGUAUGUAUCUUAUGAAUAAGGAUCGGCUAACUCCGUGCCAGCAGCCGCGGUAAUACGGAGGAUUCGAGCGUUAUCCGGAUUUAUUGGGUUUAAGGGGUGCGUAGGCGGCCUUUUAAGUCAGAGGUGAAAGUCCGUGGCUCAACCAUAGAAUUGCCGUUGAAACUGGGCGGCUAGAGUGUGGUUGAGGCAGGCGGAAUGCGUGGUGUAGCGGUGAAAUGCUUAGAUAUCACGCAGAACCUCGAUUGCGAAGGCAGCCUGCCAAGCCAUGACUGACGCUGAGGCACGAAAGCGUGGGGAUCAAACAGGAUUAGAUACCCCAGUAGUC